rnacentral:lncRNA from 1 species
AUAUUUCACUCCACCAAUCCAUAUUGAAUAAAUCUUUCAAUCUCAUUCAGAAGCAUAUUAAAACAUAUACAACUCCUACACUACACAUUUUCACAUAAGCAUCAUUUAUUAAUAACAAUUUCUUUAUGAACUUUAAUUACCAAUACUUAAGUAAUUCAAACAGUAUGGAGACCCUCACCAAUGGCUCCGGAAGGGUCAAAAACCCCCAGAAUGACCUAAAGAACGUCCAAAACGGACGUCCGGAACCCCCCAAACUAUCAAAAACAAAAGCAACAUCAGAAACCUGCGCCCAACGCCAUUUAGGGGCGUCCAGCGUGAAUUUCUGCUGGAAAACAGCAGGAAAUGGCGCCCAGCGCCCUUUUUGGGGCGCCCAGCGUGAAUUCUGCAGAUUUUUCUGCAGAAUUUGCAGAACUCACUCUCCUAAGUUUCGUUUCAGGCCUUUUGAUAGAUUUCUAGCACUCCUAACUUGAUCUAUAUGAUGAAUCAAACUUGCCUAACUAGUCUAGACAUUCCUAACCCCAUUCUUUAGUGUUUGUGCAUCAAUUCAUACUCAAAAUCUUAUUUUUCAACAACCUAAGGACUCAAUUAAGUCAUCCCAAUAGCUUAACUCAACCUUUAACUCCUAAAUCUCAAAAUCACUCUCUCACUCCCUCUAGAAUCACCCAAAACACUAGUUUUCCUCAGCCUAAGGAUUCAACUUCAUUUCUAACAUUUAGAACCUCAUAUCAACCAAUUUUAUAGUCCUAACAAGUUAUAAUUAACUUGCCUAAGUUGCCUCAACAGUCUAAAAGAGUCCUAGACCUCUACCUCUCAAAUUCACUACUUCCCUUCCCUUCAAAUAACCUCAAUUUCACCAACAUAGAGACCAAAAACUGAAUUUACCAUUUAGGAUGAGUUCCCAACCAUUUUAGCUCUUCCAACAAGUCUCAAAUGACCUAUCUAAAUUAUUCCAACAACCCUCUUGCACCUUAGACUACAAUAACUCCAAAUCACCCUCUCACUUCCUUAAACUCACUCAAAAAUACCAACUUACUUCAAGCAUUGCCUACUAAUUAAUAUAACACGUUUUACCCCAUCAACAAGUCUCAAAUCCAGCAUUUCUUCACAACCAUACAAAUUGAUAACAACCAUUUAUAGAAUCACAAAUGUAGAACCAAAUAACAUAUGAUCUCAUGCACACAUACACCCCAAUUUUUAGUUCAAAUAACACAAUCUCACCAAACAUUUCACAUAUACAUUAUUUCACAGAUUUCAAAUAAAAAUCCUAACUCAUGCAACUCUAAUUUAUAAAAUAAAACAGAAACUCCCAGCUUCCCUUACCUAUGUGAUACACGAUCCCGCUCAUAGACGCACCUCGACAGUACCUUGACUUGUGAAGGGAAAAUCACAGUACCCUACAAUUCACCUUUCG